AUUGAACGCUGGCGGCAGGCCUAACACAUGCAAGUCAAACGAGUGGCGGACGGGUGAGUAAUGCCUGGGAAACUGCCCGAUGGAGGGGGAUAACUACUGGAAACGGUAGCUAAUACCGCAUAAUAUCGGAUGUGCACAGAUGGGACUAGCUAGUAGGUGGGGUAAAGGCGCACCAAGGCGACGAUGCCUAGGUGGGCUGCGCGGUUGACCAGCCACACUGGAACUGAGAUACGGUCCAGACUCCUACGGGCGGCAGCAGUGGGGAAUAUUGCAAAAUGGGCGAAAGCCUGAGGAAGUAAGGCCGCGUGAGUGAAGAAGGUCUUCGGAUUGUAAAAUACUUUCAGCGGGGAAGCGUUACCCAAACAGGAAGCCCCGGCUAAUUCCGUGCCAGCAGCCGCGGUAAUUC
rnacentral:rRNA from 1 species